rnacentral:rRNA from 1 species
UACGUAGGGUGCGAGCGUUGUCCGGAAUUAUUGGGCGUAAAGGGCUCGUAGGCGGUUUGUCGCGUCGGGAGUGAAAACACACAGCUUAACUGUGUGCUUGCUUCCGAUACGGGCAGACUAGAGGUAUGCAGGGGAGAACGGAAUUCCUGGUGUAGCGGUGAAAUGCGCAGAUAUCAGGAGGAACACCGGUGGCGAAGGCGGUUCUCUGGGCAUUACCUGACGCUGAGGAGCGAAAGCAUGGGGAGCGAACAGG